GGUGAAGAUGAUGACUCCUGGGGGGCUGAUUCAUGUGACUUGAAAAAGGCCAUCCAUUUCCUGAUUCACC
rnacentral:snoRNA from 14 species